UUGGUGCCUUCGGGAACCGUGAGACAGGUGCUGCAUGGCUGUCGUCAGCUCGUGUUGUGAAAUGUUGGGUUAAGUCCCGCAACGAGCGCAACCCUUAUCCUUUGUUGCCAGCGGUCCGGCCGGGAACUCAAAGGAGACUGCCAGUGAUAAACUGGAGGAAGGUGGGGAUGACGUCAAGUCAUCAUGGCCCUUACGAGUAGGGCUACACACGUGCUACAAUGGCAUAUACAAAGAGAAGCGACCUCGCGAGAGCAAGCGGACCUCAUAAAGUAUGUCGUAGUCCGGAUUGGAGUCUGCAACUCGACUCCAUGAAGUCGGAAUCG
rnacentral:rRNA from 1 species